ensembl:lncRNA
GAUUGCUGCUAAUGAGCACAGUUCUACUUUGUAAUUUACAACCCUCUAAGGACCAUCCAACUUUAUAUGAACAGAGAUAUAUUCAAUGUCAGUAACCAAGAAACCCAGCAGGAACAACAUGGAACACAGCAGCAGUAUGUAUAAGCGUUGGAAUACAGUUGACCUUUAUCUACCUAACACCACUUUACUGGCAGUCUAAAUGUACUUUGUGUCCACUGUGGUCUAAGGAGAAUACAUUUUACUAAGGUUCUACCCUACCAACUUGUGUUAAAAACGGUUCUUUCCAACAGUACAGCAUUUGUCAUGUAACAAAGUUCUUGGAUUCCUGUACACCUUCUCUACACAUUAUUUAUGUGUGUGUUUAGUCUCACCAGCUUUAUGUCAUUCCAUAGCAUGCAUGGUGUACAAUGUCAGCCAUUGGCUUUUGGAUUUUACUUCUCUAUGAGGAGCAUGGCUUAUCUUACAACACUUCUGAGAAAGAUCAACAUAAAUUAUUCCAAAGUUCUUACUCAUUCCAUUAGGAAGUUGAUAUCAAGGUUUUGGUUGCAAAGGAAUGUUUUUUUUGGAAUCAGUUCAUUGCUUGAUUGACAGGUAUAUUGCCCUGGCUGUAUUAAUCUGAUGGAUAGAGUAUGUUUCCACCUAUUUACUCCUAUUGUUCUUGUGCCAAAGCUUUUAAUAUUUUCUACAUUUCAACAACAAACCAAACAUGUCUCUUGCUUUUAUCAUUUUACUCUCUCUAAAGCUUACCUGAUGCUUGUUGCUUGCAAAUACACUAAUAAGCUACAAUCCGUUCACACUUUUGUGGAUAUUUGCUGGCAAAUAUUACACACUUAAAAACUGCAGUUUGGUUGGUUAUGUUUGUUUUAAUCCAUUUGUUGGCUUUAAAAUGUUUGACAUUUCACCCUGAUGACAAAACAUGGCGCAGGGUGACAAACAUUAUAGGUCGACUUCAAAUUCCUGAAUGUGUGACCAAUUCCUACGUUGACGAUUAACAGUGCUUUCAACAAGUUGUCUUUCUGCCAUUCUCAGUGUCCAGGUGUGUGCAGACAUUUGUGCCACAGAGAAAUUCUCUUUAAAAUUAUUUGAUAAACCACAUUGCAUUUGUCAAGUUUUUGUAUAUUGUCAUCCAAUGAUUGUGCUUUUUGUAACUUUUACGUCUAAUCAGUAUUGUAAUAUAUGGAUAUAACAGUUUGUUUUCUAAAGAAUCCACAGACAUAGUGUAUGUAUAUGGCCCGAGUUCUGAUCUGAUGUCUGCUUUUGUAUUGUGUAUUGUCUUUAAUAUGGCAUGGUGG